CCUACGGGAGGCAGCAGUGAGGAAUAUUGGACAAUGGGCGCAAGCCUGAUCCAGCCAUGCCGCGUGCAGGAAGACGGUCCUAUGGAUUGUAAACUGCUUUUGUACAGGAAGAAACACUCCCUCGUGAGGGAGCUUGACGGUACUGUAAGAAUAAGGAUCGGCUAACUCCGUGCCAGCAGCCGCGGUAAUACGGAGGAUCCAAGCGUUAUCCGGAAUCAUUGGGUUUAAAGGGUCCGUAGGCGGUUUAAUAAGUCAGUGGUGAAAUCUGGUCGCUCAACGAUCAAACGGCCAUUGAUACUGUUAGACUUGAAUUAUUAGGAAGUAACUAGAAUAUGUAGUGUAGCGGUGAAAUGCUUAGAUAUUACAUGGAAUACCAAUUGCGAAGGCAGGUUACUACUAAUGGAUUGACGCUGAUGGACGAAAGCGUGGGGAGCGAACAGGAUUAGAUACCCUGGUAGUCCACGCCGUAAACGAUGGAUACUAGCUGUUCGGAGCAAUCUGAGUGGCUAAGCGAAAGUGAUAAGUAUCCCACCUGGGGAGUACGUUCGCAAGAAUGAAACUNAAAGGAAUUGACGGCUGAGAGAGCGAGACGACGACGAGGGAGGAGG
rnacentral:rRNA from 1 species